AGGGUAUCUGCAUUUUCAUUACCAAGGAUGCCUGAAUGACCUGGAAUCCAUGCUAAAACAAUGUUAAUAUUGAGGUCGUAGCAUUCUUUCAAUGAUUCUCUUACUUUAAGUAUAAUAGGAAACUGACUUUUUGACCUAAAUGGAUUUGAUAGUUUUGAUUGAAGGCAACUUUUAGAGUGUGAAAGAAUAAUAGAAUUGUUCAUGCCAUGACACUUAACAAUUGAAAUUGUUCCAAGUAUGGCAAUUGAUUCCCCAGUGAAAACAGAAGUGAUAGAUGGGCAGCUGUAACUAAUCUACAGCUAAUCCAUGCUGCAGCACCAACCGGACUCAUGUCUGUUUUAAAAGUACCGUAUUUAGUAAAUUUCACGGUGAGAUCCAGCCACCAGAAGCAGCGCCCGUACACGAGCAUGACGCAUGGACCAGUUAUCACCUCCCUCGACCAUAUUUUAGGGAAGGGAAUGACCUGCUCCACGUCGCUGGCGCAAGCAGUGGCAUUAAAGCGAGCAUGAUGAUGCCUGUCAUGAAAACUCUACCAAAUAACAAAAGAUAAUGUUCAUCUACAUAAGAUUUUAGCGAUACUCACUAAAAUGCCUUUACUUACAAUUUGACCACAUUGUUUAAAUUUAAUAAUAUUGCGAUGUAAUAUUCAAUAUAUUUAUUUCCUUAAAUUUAUUUCAUAAUGACACUCUUGGUCCUAAUUUAUUGAUGACACGAAUAGCUCUUUUCUGCAGUGUGAAAAUAGUGUUAGUAUUAGCAGCAUCUCGUUAGCCAAGUCAAAGUACUUGGUUAAGUUGUCCUUCUCAGCUUUCAUGAGGUAGUUUUCAUAUGGGAUAGUGAUUUCGACGAGGACAACCUGGGCGCCGGGAUCGGUUAACAACCACAUUACCAUGCUUAUACAGGCGACAAUAAUCCUGCCCGUGAUAAUAGACCAUUCCCUAGAACCAGCGCUGGUACGUAUUUAUAGUACAAGCUAUUAUUAUUAACCGCAUUUUCAACCGACUUUAAAAAAAUUGAUCUAAUAAAAAUCCGAAAUAGA